AUGAGACUGAAGUUUACUAUUUUCAUAGAGCUGCUCCUGUCCGGGCUGGAAAGGAUGGUGGCCCAGAGAGGACCUGCCGCUGGGAAUUCCUUUACGAACUAUGAUGAAGCUGAGGCGACAGGGUUAAGUGAAUUGCCCGGGGUCAAACAUUCUACAGGAAGUGAAGGAAUGUCUCCACUUUUGAAAUCCCAGCUGAUAUACCUGAGUCUCUCUGAACCACAUCUUCUUAUGAAGGCCUACUCAAAUCAGCUGUUCCUGUUCAAAUUGAGAAUAAAGGUGAUCUACUCUUGGUUGCACCAAAUGUCACAGUGUGACAGGAAGAAAGCAAGCACCUUCUCUUGGAGCUACAUAGGAGAGUCCACAAGGUCUCAAAGGCAAAGGUUCAGUGGUGUCUCCCAAAAUUUGAAUAUUUAAGGUUUGUUCUAACUGCUGGUGCCUGCUCCAUUUUCCCUAAGUGCACUGGAGGUAUUCAGAAAUUGACUUCCCCCUCUACUAAGAAAUAGUUGAGGGCAAUUUUAGAAGCAACAGGGUUUUGUA
rnacentral:lncRNA from 1 species